rnacentral:tRNA from 1 species
GCCCAGGUGGUGAAAUCGGCAGACACGCUACUUUGAGGUGGUAGUGGGCGUAAGCCCUUGCGGGUUCAAAUCCCGCCCUGGGCA